CCUGUGCUCAGCGUGACGAGCAACAUUUGGUGUACCCUUUCAAUUCUCAAAUAAACUGUGUCUGAAUUCUGAUACAUGUUGUCUCGUAUGCAUAAAAGUGUUUAGGCUUUGCUAGUUUUUGUCAUGAUUUUUUUUAUAUUCUAGCAUGGGCGUUGCUAGCGCCCGGACGUCCGAUGGGAAAACUUCCCAUCGGACGCUCCGUUGGUCCAUCGCAACAUCAAGAAAUAACAACUGCAACAUAGAGGAAGAGGAGGAGGAGGAUGGCGGCGGCCAGGCCGGUGAUGGCGGCGGCCAGGCCGGUGCGGCUCACCUCUGACCGCGGGGGAGCAGCGGCCCGCGCCCCCGACACUCGAGCAGCGCCCGACGCCCUUCCAAGUGGAGCUCCUCCGACGACCGGCGCAGCUUGCCCCUGUCACACCGGAGGCAAAAGGGCUGAAGGUGAGGGAGAUAGCUCCUCAAGGAGGUUGACGUGAUCCUCUCCCAUGACCUAAAUUGAAGGAAGCAAGGAGGUGCGAUGGCGUGGGGAUGGGGUAGGAGCUUGCCAUCUAGCAGCAGGAAGCUGCCAACGGCAGCGGCGAUGGGCGCGCGGCGCGAUGCAUGGCCUCCAAGGGCCAUGAUGUGUGCAGUAGGAG
rnacentral:lncRNA from 1 species